rnacentral:tRNA from 1 species
AUUAGAUCAGUCGUAGAUCAUUGGUUUCCGACGCCAAAGGUCGCGGGUUCAAAUCCCGCAUGC